ensembl:lncRNA
AUGGGCACGGCAAGUGCUAGUCUCAUUGUGGCCCUCGGAGCAGUAUGUUUUGCAUAUACAGGACUUUGUAAUGAGAUGCGGUGGUUAUUUAUGUUUCGGUACUCUUCCCUACAGACUGUAAAAAGGCACUUUGCUCAGCCCUGUCUAAUCAUUGCAGGUGUCAACACACUGAAGCAUGCAGGACACUCCACGGGCAAUGUGUUUCUCUCAUCUGUUACAUCCAGAAGCGCCCUCCCACCCUCACUGCCCCUAACUGCUGUGCAGACUCACCAGUUUGACCUUGGGAGGUACUGUUUACAGUUGGGUGAACUUGGGACUUUCCCUUUUGAGUCAAGCUGAGCAAAUGGACAAGAAAACCCUGCAGAACCUGUUCAGCGAUUUCAGACUGUAAGCAAGCAGCUCAGAGGGAAUGGGGGUAGAGAGUACUUUAUGACCCCAAUUAACGUCUUCUCUCCCAAGGUUGUCAACACACCAGGCUGAGCAGCAGCCUGAGAAAGUGGCUCGCUUCCCAGGCAGGUUUGCUGGUUGGCCUCCAAGUAACACCACCCUGGGUGCUUGCUUAAUGCAGGUGCAAUGGGCUAUCAUCUUAUGUCUUUGCCUUUUCAAAACUUGUUUUUCAUACGCAUAUAUAUGCCCCUUCACACAUUCAUAGUUACUAAUAUCUCAGUGUGGAAAAAGAGAAGACAGAAUGUUAUGGUCAUAUGAGGGCAAACAUCUUUCAAAAGGGAACUCAUACUGGGGAAGACUGGGUCAAAUGCUUGGGAAAUAAGUGAGGAGGACAAUUUAGCCAUCAAAUCUACGAUGUGGCUCUAAUGUCAUAUCAUUUGCAUGGCCACUGUACAGAACCACAUUAUUUGACCUUUAAAGUUUGUACAUUGAUAAAUAAUUUGAAAGAUAGCAAAAAAAAAAAAAAAUGUAGUUCUCAACUUCUCCCUGUUGACAGACAUUUGAGGAGAAAGGACACUGCAUGUAUAUGUCAUGGAAUGAAUGCAUGAAUGACGCUUACAUUUUUAAAUAAUGAAGAUUCCUGAUGAGUGGAAUGGAUGACACCUUUUAUAUGGAUUCCGAGAGGAGGAUUUUCUGUAUGGAAUGGAAUUGCUAGAAAGUGGUGUUUGAGUUAGGGCUUGAAGGAUGGAUUUCCACAGUAGAGAGGAGGGUUAAGACCAGACAGACCAAACUGAAGGCUCAAUCAACAGGGGCAUAAGGGAAGUGCCAUCUGGCUGGGGCAGGGCAUUUUUUUCAAGGCAUGGUGGUGCCUUGGUUGCAGAGUUAGGUGGAGGUGGCUGUGGGAAACUGAGUAAUGGUAUGGUGAAAUCUCUGGGCCUUGGUUCAAAUCCCAGCUCUGCUACUCUCGAACUAUAACUUGGGGAAAUUAGUUUAAUCUCCCUGGACCUCAAAUUAGUAAAAUUGGCUAAUAAAAGUGUCCGUCUCAUGGGUUUCUUUGAUGAU